rnacentral:rRNA from 1 species
CUACGGGGGGCUGCAGUGGGGAAUAUUGGUCAAUGGGGGCAACCCUGAACCAGCGACGCCGCGUGAGUGAAGAAGUAUUUCGGUAUGUAAAGCUCUAUCAGCAGGGACGAUAAUGACGGUACCUGACUAAGAAGCCCCGGCUAACUACGUGCCAGCAGCCGCGGUAAUACGUAGGGGGCAAGCGUUAUCCGGAUUUACUGGGUGUAAAGGGAGUGUAGGUGGUUAUGCAAGUCAGAUGUGAAAACCCGGGGCUCAACCCCGUGACUGCAUUUGAAACUGCGUAACUAGAGUGCAGGAGAGGUAAGUGGAAUUCCUAGUGUAGCGGUGAAAUGCGUAGAUAUUAGGAGGAACACCAGUGGCGAAGGCGGCUUACUGGACUGUAACUGACACUGAGGCUCGAAAGCGUGGGGAGCAAACAGGAUUAGAUACCCGGGUAGUC